GAAGAAUAAUUAAAUCAUUCCUAACUGAAGGAAAUGCUUCGCAGAACUAUGCAAAUUCCAAUUUGGCCAAGAUGCUGCGGUUUCAUAUUCUAUUUCUGGGAAGGGCAGAGGGAGAAGCAGUUAUUUUUGGAGCGAGGUUCUGGCUCUAAUUUUUCUCUCUUGCCUCGAGAUGAGCGCGUGCUGGGACACCCGUGUUCAGGCAGGAGCGCGGUACCUGCCGUGGUCUGCUUCUAACCGUGUCCUGCUGCGAGUGCUUCUCUGCCAUACACAGUAACAUAUGUGAAGUCUUCCAGUGGCCAAAGUCGACAGUGCAGUCAGUGAACAGUGAUGUCCAUUCAUCCCCUCACUCAGUGCUGAAACAGACUCCUGGAAAGUUUUAGGAAGACUCCUCUAAAACUGUGACUGCACUCAAGGGAUUUCAGAAGACUUGCUGGGUGCUGCCACUGGCUUGGUGAACCUGGUGCAGAAACGGGCUGACACUGAGAAGAACCUUGCUGUCCCCCACACCAGAUUACACCGUGUAAUGACACGGCAGCGCGGCGGGCAGGGGCUGCCCGGCCUCCUCCUCCCGGCCCGGCCCUGCCCGGCCCGGGCAGCCCUCGCCAGAGGGAGCUCCAGGGGAGCGAGGCCCCGGAG